CAGGGGAGAUACCAUGAUCACGAAGGUGGUUUUCCCAGGGCGAGGCUUAUCCAUUGCACUCCGGAUGUGCUGACCCCUGCGAUUUCCCCAAAUGUGGGAAACUCGACUG
ensembl:snRNA U1 U1 spliceosomal RNA